GACGAACGCUGGCGGCGUGCUUAACACAUGCAAGUCGAACGGAAAGGCCCUGCUUUUGUGGGGUGCUCGGGUGGCGAACGGGUGAGUAACAUGUGAGUAACCUGCCCUUGAUUUUGGGAUAACUUCAGGAAACUGGGGCUAAUACCGGAUAGGAGCUCCAGCUGCAUGGGGGGGGUUGGAAAGUUUCGGCGGUUGGGGUUGGAGUCGCGGCUUAUCAGCUUGGUGGUGGGGUAGUGGCUUACCAAGGCGUUGACGGGUAGCCGGCCUGGGAGGGUGAACGGCCACAUUGGGACUGAGCUACGGCCCAGACUCCUACGGGAGGCAGCAGUGGGGAAUAUUGCACAAUGGGCGGAAGCCUGAUGCAGCAACGCCGCGUGCGGGAUGACGGCCUUCGGGUUGUAAACCGCUUUCGCCUGUGACGAAGCGUGAGUGACGGUAAUGGGUAAAGAAGCACCGGCUAACUACGUG
rnacentral:rRNA from 1 species